GGAGGAAAGCAGGGGAUCGUAAGACCUUGCGCUUUUGGAGUGGCCGAUGCCUGAUUAGCUAGUUGGUGGGGUAAAGGCCUACCAAGGCGACGAUCAGUAGUUGGUCUGAGAGGACGACCAGCCACACUGGGACUGAGACACGGCCCAGACUCCUACGGGAGGCAGCAGUGGGGAAUUUUGGACAAUGGGCGAAAGCCUGGUCCAGCAAUGCCGCGUGAGUGAAGAAGGCCUUCGGGUUGUAAAGCUCUUUCAGUCGAGAAGAAAAGAUUGUGAUGAAUAAUCACAGUUCAUGACGGUAUCGACAGAAGAAGCACCGGCUAACUACGUGCCAGCAGCCGCGGUAAUACGUAGGGUGCAAGCGUUAAUCGGAAUUACUGGGCGUAAAGGGUGCGCAGGCGGCUUUGUAAGUCAGAUGUGAAAUCCCCGGGCUUAACCUGGGAAUUGCGUUUGAAACUACAAAGCUAGA
rnacentral:rRNA from 1 species